GCUAAACGCGAAGAACCUUACCUGGCCUUGACAUCCAUGGAAUCCCGAAGAGAUUUGGGAGUGCCGCAAGGAACCAUGAGACAGGUGCUGCAUGGCUGUCGUCAGCUCGUGUCGUGAGAUGUUGGGUUAAGUCCCGCAACGAGCGCAACCCUUGUCCUUAGUUGCCAGCACGUAAUGGUGGGAACUCUAAGGAGACUGCCGGUGACAAACCGGAGGAAGGUGGGGAUGACGUCAAGUCCUCAUGGCCCUUACGGCCAGGGCUACACACGUACUACAAUGGUCGGUACAGAGGGUUGCGAAGCCGCGAGGCGAAGCCAAUCCCAGAAAGCCGAUCCCAGUCCGGAUUGGAGUCUGCAACUCGACUCCAUGAAGUUGGAAUCGCUAGUAAUCGCGAAUCAGCUAUGUCGCGGUGAAUACGUUCCCGGGUCUUGUACACAC
rnacentral:rRNA from 1 species